rnacentral:rRNA from 1 species
AGUGAACGCUGGCGGUAGGCCUAACACAUGCAAGUCGAACGGCAGCACAGUAAGAGCUUGCUCUUACGGGUGGCGAGUGGCGGACGGGUGAGGAAUACAUCGGAAUCUACUUUUUCGUGGGGGAUAACGUAGGGAAACUUACGCUAAUACCGCAUACGACCUACGGGUGAAAGUAGGGGAUCUUCGGACCUUGCGCGAUUGAAUGAGCCGAUGUCGGAUUAGCUAGUUGGCGGGGUAAAGGCCCACCAAGGCGACGAUCCGUAGCUGGUCUGAGAGGAUGAUCAGCCACACUGGAACUGAGACACGGUCCAGAGUCCUACGGGAGGCAGCAGUGGGGAAUAUUGGACAAUGGGCGCAAGCCUGAUCCAGCCAUACCGCGUGGGUGAAGAAGGCCUUCGGGUUGUAAAGCCCCUUUGUUGGGAAAGAAAAGCAGCAGGUUAAUACCCCGCUGUUCUGACGGUACCCAAAGAAUAAGCACCGGCUAACUUCGUG